UUUUUCUUCUUUUAAUUUAAUUUUUCAGUUACAACAACUCCAGAAAGCGAGCCAUCUGUUAACACAGUUAAACCAACAAAAUCAGAACCGAAGAAACAAACGAGCAACAACCAAACACUUUACAUCAUCGUGGGAUCCGUUGCUGGUGUUAUUUCCCUUGCUAUCCUGGUUCUAGUGUGUUACUGUUGCUGUCGUAAG